rnacentral:lncRNA from 1 species
GUGUGAAGUGAAGAUGACAACUGACUGGUUUUUUUUUAAUACAAAUGAACAGAUCAAGAGUCAAGACUACCUGAAUGAUCUACAGUAUCCAAUGACUACUGGCUGGGUUUUUUUUGUACAAAUAAAUAGGUCAAGACUACCUGAAUGAUCUACAGUAUCCAAUGACUACUGGCUGUUUUUUUUUGUACAAAUAAAUAGGUGAUCAAGAAUACUGGAAUGAUCUACAAUAUCCAAUGAUUACUAGCUGUUCUUUUGUACUAAUAAAAAGGUCAAGACUAUUUAAAUGAUCUACAAUAUCCAAUGGCUACUGGCUGUUCUUUUGUACAUACUAAAUAAAGACUACCUGAAUGAUCUAAAUUACUCUAAGUAAUGUGUAAUUUUUUUCUUGCAAUUACAUUUUUCUAAAUCAAGAAUACAGACUACUAUAAAAAAAAAAAAAGAUGUGGUAUGAUUGCUAUAAUGAGACAACUAUCCACAAAAGACCAAAAUGCCACAGACAUUAACAACUGUAGGUCACCGUACGGCCUUCAACAAUGAGCAAAGCCCAUACCGCAUAGUCAGUUAUAAAAGGCCCCGAUAAGACAAUGUAAAACAAUUCAAACGAGAAAACUAACACCCUUAUUUAUGUAAAAAAAUGAACGAAAAACAAAUAUGUAACACAUAAACAAACGACAACCACUGAAUUACAGGCUCCUGACUUGGGACAGGCACAUACAUAAAUAAUGUGGUGGGGUUAAACAUGUUAGUGGGAUCCCAACCCUCCCCUAACCUGGGACAGUGGUAUAACAGUACAACAUAAGAACGAACUAUAAAAAUCAGUUGAAAAAGGCUUAACUCAUCAGACGGACAAAAAUACAAGUGGACAAGUAUCCUUUCAACCAAAAUGAUUAUGAAGAGCCUGUUGUAACAAGCUCUUAUACCCCACUAGUCCUAUAACAUAUGACUUCGCAUUCUUAUUCAAUUUUUAACGUUUUUAUACUGAUAUUU